GUCCCUGUAGCGCAAUGGAUAGCGCGUUGGACUUUUAAUCCAAAAGGUUCGAAUCCUACCUGGGAUG